AUAUCACUAAGCGGAGGAAAAGAAACUAACAAGGAUUCCCCCAGUAGCGGCGAGCGAAGCGGGAAGAGCUCAAAUUUGAAAUCUGCAGUGCCACACUGCCGAGUUGUAAUUUGAAGAGGCGCCUUCGUGCGACACGGCCGCGUAGAAAUCCCUUGGAAAGGGGUAUCGUAGAGGGUGACAAUCCCGUCUGUGACGCGGCCCGUGCCGUCCUAUGAUGCGCUCUCAAAGAGUCGGGUUGCUUGGGAAUGCAGCCCAAAAGGGGUGGUAAAUUCCAUCUAAAGCUAAAUAUUGGCGAGAGACCGAUAGCGCACAAGUA
rnacentral:rRNA from 1 species